ensembl:snRNA U2 U2 spliceosomal RNA
AUCGCUUCUCGGCCUUUUGGCUAAGAUCAAGUGUAGAAUUUAUUUUGUAUAAAAAUAUUUUGCAGUUUAUUUUUC